AGGAUCUCAUCGAGAAAGGUGAAGAGCAACCCAAUCUCACGGUUGGCAUUCUUGUGGCCAUUUUGGUUGUCUUCGUGUCAAUUUUCUUCAGAAUCAUAUUUGGUGGGAAGAAGCAGCCCACGAAGGUGGAGAAGACAAAUGUAGACUCCUCUGCCACGAACCAAAGUGGUGAUAACGGCGAGAACGAGGAAAACAAAGAGAAGGAAGAAUCAUCUUCUGCCCCUCCACGUCGGAGGUCGACAAGGAGAGAGAACUAAAAUAUGAUUGAAUAGUUUGUCACAUGGUUACUGUUGGAGAUCUAGUAGUUUUAUUUGAAGUUAAUUGGAGAGAUGUACAAUUAUGAUUAUUUUAUUUUUCUUUAUAUUUUUA